CAGAGGUCCCAAGCGUUGUUCGGAUUCACUGGGCGUAAAGGGUGCGUAGGUGGUGGGGUAAGUUUGAUGUGAAAGCUCCGAGCUUAACUCGGAAAUGGCAUUGAAUACUAUCCUGCUUGAGGUUUGGAGGGGGGACUGGAAUUCUCGGUGUAGCAGUGAAAUGCGUAGAUAUCGAGAGGAACACCAGUGGCGAAGGCGAGUCCCUGGACAACACCUGACACUGAGGCACGAAAGCUAGGGGAGCAAACAGGAUUAGAUACCCUGGUAGUCCUAGCUGUAAACGGUGCACGUUUGCUGUAAAAGGAAUCGACCCCUUUUGUGGCGAAGCUAACGCGAUAAACGUGCCGCCUGGGAAGUACGGUCGCAAGAUUA
rnacentral:rRNA from 1 species